GCACUGGAUUGGACGUUUUUCCGCUGUGGUCCAUUCGUUGCACAUCGAAGGAGAGCGACGUCAGAUGUGCAAACGGUGC
rfam:Microcoleus chthonoplastes PCC 7420 scf_1103659003821 genomic scaffold, whole genome shotgun sequence.